rnacentral:lncRNA from 1 species
CAGCUCAAGCAAUCAGGCUUUCUUUGUAUUAGCUGAAAAACAAGGAAAUCGCACAUCCACGCCUAACUGCCUCACACCUGUGCUUGCAAAAGUGGCAGAAGCACUGAGCAUCUUGUGACUAAUCUGGAAAAUUGUCUACUUCAAGCAAAGUGACUUUCAGUGUUUCAGGCCGAAGGUGCAGCUCUUCUUAUGGAGAUAGCAGAGACACAAGAGACCAAGCUCAACUACACAAGCAUAUUUCAUGUCUCUGCUUACGUCACAUCUGUCAUUAUCCCAUUGGCCAAGGUAAAAAGAGAAGACACAAAUUAUCUAACAGGCACAGUGGCUCACGCCUGUAAUCUGAGCAUUUUGGGAGGCCUGGGCAGGUGGAUCACUUGAGCCCAGGAGUUCGACAGCCACUUGAACAACAUGGCAAAACCCUGU